CUCUGACAAACAUACUCUGCUCAGGAACUUGGUCUGACUGGAAUUCUCCUCUGAAACAUCUCAAGGAAUUCCUCAGCUCAGACAUAUGCAACAACUGCUACAUCAUAAUCACAAGAAGGUCAUGGGUGUAUAUGAUGUAUUCUUCCAUAAAAUGAAGCAGAUGCAUCGAAAAUUCAGCAUAUUGCUUGAUUACCUGCUUACUAUAUUCUGAAAGAUGCAGGCCAUGUGCUGUGCAGAGGUGUUCCUGUGAUUCCACUGUCAUGCAGCCCCCUCCUCCCUGGAAGAAUCUCACACUGUAAAAGCAAAGAUGUUUCACAUGCUCUCUCUUGGAAGCAUGACUUGCAGAUGGAUACAUUUGGCACCAAACAGUCAAUAUGGCUGUUGCUUGCCCUGCAGGAAAGGAAGGAUUUGGAAGUUGUCAUACUUUGUUCAAGGAGGAUGUGCUGGCCCUGAAUACACUAACUGACCUAUUCUUUAGGUCCAUCAGUGCCAUUACUGACUAUCUAUGCUAGCCCAAGAUGGGGAGGGAGUGGAGUUGAAACUCCAGAAUGUAUGUUACUGUAUGUAAAUCAUUAAUAAAUCCUGCAAAAAGAUCAACCUACCUUCAAUUUACUGUAACCAAAUGAUCCCAUUUACAACAUUUGCUCUUGCUUGGCAAUUCAU